GUCUUCAUACUUGUACUCUGCAAUGACAAUGAAGUUGAAUCUAAUCUAAUCUAUUGUGACAGUCCUCAGUGACCUGGAGAAAUGGAGAUCUAUGUGAACCCAUUUUAUACAGUCUUAGCUCCCACAGUUGAGUUCGGGAGCAACGCGUCGCAACAGACCCACAAUUCAGUUCGGCAACGGAUGACUUAUGCCCAUGUAAAGUGGACGGGAUACGUCUCAAGCACUGCACCGCAUGCAACUGUGUGUGGGAGCCGUUAUGGUGAACUUGUUGGAUGUCUCCUUUAAGUAAUGUUGGUUUUCAUGAAAUAUGGAAAGCUUUUUUUUGUUCAACUUUUAUUAAUAAAUUUGACACAUUCCAAAA